rnacentral:rRNA from 1 species
ACGAACCGUGCGAACGUUAUUCGGAAUCACUGGGCUUAAAGCGCGUGUAGGCGGGCCGGCACGUCGGUCGCUGAAAUCCCCCGGCUCAACCGGGGAAGGGGCGCCGAAACGACCGGCCUGGAGGGGGGUAGGGGGCGCCGGAACUCACGGUGGAGCGGUGAAAUGCGUUGAGAUCGUGAGGAACGCCCGUGGCGAAAGCGGGCGCCUGGACCCCGCCUGACGCUGAGACGCGAAAGCCAGGGGAGCGAACGGGA